AUUGAACGCUGGCGGCAGGCCUAACACAUGCAAGUCGAACGAGUGGCGGACGGGUGAGUAAUGUCUGGGAAACUGCCUGAUAGAGGGGGAUAACUACUGGAAACGGUAGCUAAUACCGCAUACCAUCGGAUGUGCCCAGAGGGGAUUAGCGAGUUGGUGGGGUAAAGGCUCACCAAGGCGACGCUCCCUAGCUGGUCUGAGAGGAUGACCAGCCACACUGGAACUGAGACACGGCCCAGACUCCUACGGUAGGCAGCAGGGGGGAAUAUUGCACAAUGGGCGCAAGCCUGAUGCAGCCAGGCCGCGUGUAUGAAGAAGGCCUUAGGGUUGUAAAGUACUUUCAGCGGGGAGGCGUUACCCGCAGAAGAAGCACCGGCUAACUCCGUGCCAGCAGCCGCGGUAAUAC
rnacentral:rRNA from 1 species